GACGAACGCUGGCGGCGUGCUUAACACAUGCAAGUCGAACGGAAAGGCCCUGCUUUUGUGGGUUGCUCGAGUGGCGAACGGGUGAGUAACACGUGAGUAACCUGCCCUUGACUUUGGGAUAACUUCAGGAAACUGGGGCUAAUACCGGAUAGGAGCUCCUGCUGCAUGGUGGGGGUUGGAAAGUUUCGGCGGUUGGGGAUGGACUCGCGGCUUAUCAGCUUGUUGGUGGGGUAGUGGCUUACCAAGGCUUUGACGGGUAGCCGGCCUGAGAGGGUGACCGGCCCCAUUGGGACUGGGAUAGGGCCCAGACUCCUACGGGAGGCAGAAGUCGGGAAUAUUGCACAAUGGGCGGAAGCCUGAUGCAGCAACGCCGCGUGCGGGAUGACGGCCUUCGGGUUGUAAACCGCUUUCGCCUGUGAUGAAGCGUGAGUGACGGUAAUGGGUAAAGAAGCAACGGCUAACUACGUG
rnacentral:rRNA from 1 species